rnacentral:rRNA from 1 species
AUUGAACGCUAGCGGGAUGCUUUACACAUGCAAGUCGCACGGAGUGGCGCACGGGUGCGUAAUGUAUCGGAACGUGCCCCGUAGCUGGGGAUAACUACGCGGAAGCGUAGCUAAUACCGCAUACUAUUGGAGCGGCCGAUAACGGAUUAGCGAGUGGGUGAGGUAACGGCUCACCAAGGCGACGAGCCGGAGCUGGUUUGAGAGGACGACCAGCCACACUGGGACUGAGACACGCCCAGACGCCUACGGGAGGCAGCAGUGGGGAAUUUUGGACAAUGGGGGCAACCCUGAUCCAGCCAUCCCGCGUGUGCGAUGAAGGCCUUCGGGUUGUAAAGCACUUUUGGCAGGAAAGCGGUACCUGCAGAAUAAGCACCGGCUAACUACGUGCCAGCAGCCGCGGUAAUUC